rnacentral:rRNA from 1 species
GACGUAGGUGGCGAACGUUAUCCGGAAUUACUGGGCGUAAAGAGUGUGUAGGCGGUGCUCUAAGUUCGGUGUGAAAUCUCCUGGCUCAACUGGGAGGGUGCGCCGGAAACUGGAGUGCUUGAGCGUGGGAGAGGAAAGCGGAAUUCCUGGUGUAGCGGUGAAAUGCGUAGAUAUCAGGAGGAACACCUGUGGUGUAGACGGCUUUCUGGACCAUAGCUGACGCUGAGACACGAAAGCGUGGGUAGCAAACAGG